rnacentral:snRNA from 1 species
AUACUUACCUGGCAAUGGAGAUACCAUGAUCACGAAGGUGGUUUUCCCAGGGCAAGGCUUAUCCAUUGCACUCUGGAUGUGCUGACAACUCGACUGCAUAACUUGUGGUAGUGGAGGACUGUGUUCAUACUCUCCCCUG